GACGAACGCUGGCGGCGUGCUUAACACAUGCAAGUCGAACGGAAAGGCCCUGCUUUUGUGGGGUGCUCGAGUGGCGAACGGGUGAGUAACACGUGAGUAACCUGCCCUUUACUUUGGGAUAACUUCAGGAAACUGGGGCUAAUACCGGAUAGGAGCUCCUGCUGCAUGGUGGGGGUUGGAAAGUUUCGGCGGUUGGGGAUGGACUCGCGGCUUAUCAGCUUGUUGGUGGGGUAGUGGCUUACCAAGGCUUUGACGGGUAGCCGGCCUGAGAGGGUGACCGGCAAAAUUGGGACGGAGAUACGGCACAGACUCCUACGGGAGGCAGCAGGGGGGAAUAGUGCGCAAAGGGCGGAGGCCUGAUGCAGCAACGCCGGGUGCGGGAUGACGGCCGUCGGGUUGUAAACCGCUUUGGCCUGUGACGAAGCGUGAGUGACGGUAAUGGGGAAAGAAGCACCGGCUAACCACGU
rnacentral:rRNA from 1 species